GAUGGACCUUCUGUUUCUUGUUCCUCCUCUGUGGCCUGCUGUAAACCAGCAAGCUUCCUGCUUGCUCAGUCCGCGAGGUCCUGAUCUAGUGGCUUGUGGGAGAAGGCGAAGUGAUUUCUCUAUCUUGUGUGGCGCUUAGGGUCAGAAGCCUGCAUAUAAAGCUCAAAUUUACCCUUGAAAAUUCUCUCAAGCAUCCUCACUUGGCAGAAUUGAGAGCUGGCUACAGCCUGGGUGCUGCACAUCCCAUGAGGGUCUGCAUGCACUACUGGGGCUGCUGUGGACCUUCAGGAAUAUCCGUGGGAGGUCUGUAGGCCAUCGGAGUUGCUCCUGAAGAGACUGGGGCCAGGUCUUCUCCUCUUCCUUUGCUGCUUCCUGGCUCACGAUGGUAACAGACCAAGGAUUCUCCACUUUCUGCACCCAAGAAGGGCCAGGUGUGCUGUUGAGUCAUGUGUGGGCUGAAGUCAGCACCCUCCACUGAGAUCACCUCGGUGCCCUCGGGGCCUCAGGAGUGGUUCUUGCUGAUUGCCAUCGAGACUGCAGUCCCAUCUGCUGAGGAUGUGGCUUGAGGCCUGCCCUUGUGACUUGCUUUGACAAAUGGAAUUGUGGGAGAGUUAACCCAGACUGAAGCUUGAAAAUGCCCUUGGUGAAUGUGGCUUUGUCUCUUGGAAUCCAUGAGGACGUAUCUGGGUCAGCAUGUCAGAAUGAUGUAAGAGACACAGGUUAAUGGAGUACUAACCCAGAAGGUUGAGUUGUCCCAGCCAAGGUUGACCCCACAAGUAUUCAAGUACCAUGCAGGCAAUAAGAUCACCUAGCAGGCCAAAGAAUAUAUAAAGAACAGUAAAUGUUUUCAUUUUAAACUUUAAGUUUUUGGGUUAUUUGUUAUGCAGCAAUAGCUAACUGAUACAUGGAUUUUUUCCACUCCAGUAUUUCUGCCCUUUUCCUAGCUUCUCCUAGGUUGCUGAGCAUGUAUAAUAUGCACAGGAGAAGCUCUGCUAUCACAGAGGUUUGUAAUCCAGACUGCAGAAUGUCCUAUCAUGUGGAAGUGGGAUAGGUUUUCUCAUGAUGUUCUUGGAAAUAUAAACAGUUUAUUAUUUGUAAAGUAUCAUUUGAUAAGGUACAUCAAAAGCUUUUGAAUUGUUCUCAUUCUUAAUUCAAUCUAAU